CGGAAACAAUGGCAGGCAGGUGACAGAGUCUGGGUGGGAAUCCUGUCCUUCUGAUCCCCCACCCCCACCCAGGGCUCCCCAUGCCCUCCACUCACCCUUCUGUGAGGACUCAUCUUCUCAGCCUGCAACGGACAGGAGCCUAGCAAAACUGUCCUCAGAGAGGCUCCACCCAACAGCCGAUGGAAACAGAUUCGGAGACCCACAGCCCAAUAUUAGAUGGAGCUCACUUGAGUCUUGUGGAGGAGUCGGAGGGAUGAUUGAGGGGCCUGAAGAAGAUCGAGACUCCACAAGAAGACCAACAGAAUCAACUAACCUGGACCUUUGAGGGCUACCAGAGACUGAAACACCAACCAGAGAGCAAACAUGGGCUGGGCCUACCCCAACCCCCAGCACAUCUGUAACAGCUGUGCAACGUGGUCUUCAUGUGGGUCCCCAACAACUGAAGCAGGGGCUUUCCCUGAGUCUGUUGCCUUCCUGUGGAUCCCAUUCCCCUAACUGGCCUGCCUUGUCUGGCCUCAGUGGGAGAGGAUGAGUCUUGUCCUGCAGUGACUUGAUGUGCCAGGGUGGGGUGAUAUGGGGGGGGGCAGAAAGAGCUCCUCUUUCACAAAAGAGAUGGGGAGUGGGGAGUGAGGGGAGGAGGCAUAGGGUAGACUGGGAAGAAGGGGGUUGAUAUUGAAAUAUAAAGUGAAUAAGUAAAUAAAUUGAUAAGAAAAAAAAAAAAACAGAAAGAAGUCAGCUCACUGAACAUUUCCCCUUAGAAGCCAAGGUAGAUAUAAAACCACGACUCAGCCUUUUCUGAGGAGAAAGGGAAGAUGGUGGAGGGUGAGGUGAGAGGAGGAUCUAAGAGGAGUGGAUUGAGGGGAAGUUACAACAGGGAUGUAAAGUAAAUUAAUUAAUAAUAAAAUGUGACUCAGAAUCGUC
ensembl:antisense Gm11683 predicted gene 11683